AAGGAUCAUUACAUUCAGUAGCUUGCUACUGUUAGGGGGGUCCAUUAGUCUGUAUAGUAUCACUACUGAUGAGCAGCACGACUCCCUGUCUAUACCCUUGUCUUUUGCGCACUCAUGUUUCCUCGGCGGCUUGAUACCCGCCGGCUGGAUCAAUCUAUAACCUUUUUAAUUUUCAAUCAGCGUCUGAAAAACCUAAUAAUUACAACUUUCAACAACGGAUCUCUUGGUUCUG
rnacentral:misc_RNA from 1 species